rnacentral:rRNA from 1 species
AGUGCCUUCGGGGAACUCGGUGACCGGUGCUGCAUUGGCUGUCGUCAGCUCGUGUCGUGAGAUGUUGGGUUAAGUCCCGCAACGAGCGCAACCCCUAUCUUUAGUUACCAUCAUUCAGUUGGGGACUCUAAAGAUACUGCCCCGGGUCAACGGGGAGGAAGGUGGGGAUGACGUCAAGUCCUCAUGGCCCUUAUGCCCAGGGCUACACACGUGCUACAAUGGACUGUACAAAGGGUUGCAACCCGCAAGGAUGAGCCAAUCCCAAAAAGCAGUCCUAAGUUCGGAUUGGAGUCUGCAACUCGACUCCAUGAAGUUGGAAUCGCUAGUAAUCGCGGAUCAGCACGCCGCGGUGAAUACGUUCCCGGGCCUU